rnacentral:rRNA from 1 species
UACGGAGGAUGCGAGCGUUAUCCGGAUUUAUUGGGUUUAAAGGGUGCGUAGGCGGCGCUUCAGGUCAGCGGUGAAAUACCGGGGCUCAACCCCGACAAGCCGUUGAAACUGGCUUGCUAGAGUGGGCGAGAAGUAUGCGGAAUGCGUGGUGUAGCGGUGAAAUGCAUAGAUAUCACGCAGAACUCCGAUUGCGAAGGCAGCAUACCGGCGCCCAACUGACGCUCAGGCACGAAAGCGUGGGUAUCGAACAGG